rnacentral:misc_RNA from 1 species
ACGAGUUAGGGUCUUUAGGCCCGAUCUCCAACCCAAUGUUUAAAUACCAUGUUGCUUUGGCGGGCCCGCCUUUAACUAGGCCGUCGGGGGUUUCGGCCCCGGGCCAGCGCCCGCCAACAGCCCACAUCAAAAUCUUCUAACCAUGUAAAAAUCUGAACCAAAAAAAUAAAUUAA